AAAUAGAUACCCAGGUAGUCCACGCCGUAAACGGUGGGCACUAGAUGUGGGGCUCUUUCCAUGAGUUCCGCGUCGCAGCUAACGCAUUAAGUGCCCCGCCUGGGGAGUACGGCCGCAAGGCUAAAACUCAAAGGAAUUGACGGGGGCCCGCACAAGCGGCGGAGCAUGCGGAUUAAUUCGAUGCAACGCGAAGAACCUUACCAAGGCUUGACAUAUACGGUCUAUCCCUAGAGAUAGGGAGUGCUUCGGCGCCGUAUACAGGUGGUGCAUGGUUGUCGUCAGCUCGUGUCGUGAGAUGUUGGGUUAAGUCCCGCAACGAGCGCAACCCUCGUCCUAUGUUGCCAGCGGAUAAUGCCGGGGACUCAUGGGAGACUGCCGGGGUCAACUCGGAGGAAGGUGGGGAUGAGGUCAAAUCAUCAUGCCCCUUAUGUCUUGGGCUUCACGCAUGCUACAAUGGCCGGUACAAAGGGCUGCAAUACCGCGAGGUGGAGCGAAUCCCAAAAAGCCGGUCUCAGUUCGGAUUGAGGU
rnacentral:rRNA from 1 species